GCCUGGGUGGCUUAGUCAGUUAAGCGUCUGACUUCGGCUCAGGUCAUGAUCUCACAGCUCGUGAGUUAGAGCCCCACAUCGGGCU
rfam:Felis catus isolate Cinnamon breed Abyssinian chromosome E1, whole genome shotgun sequence.